UACGAAGGGUGCAAGCGUUAUUCGGAGUUACUGGGCGUAAAGAGCAUGUAGGCGGUUUGCUAAGUCGGUUGUUAAAUUCCAUGGCUUAACUGUGGGUUCGCAAUCGAUACUGGUGAGCUAGAGUAUAGAAGAGAGAAGUGGAAUUCUCGGAGUAGCGGUAAAAUGCGUAGAUCUCGAGAGGAACACCGGUUGCGAAGGCGGCUUCUUGGUCUAUAACUGACGCUAAAGUGCGAAAGCGUGGGGAG
rnacentral:rRNA from 1 species